rnacentral:rRNA from 1 species
UACGGAGGGUGCAAGCGUUAAUCGGAAUUACUGGGCGUAAAGCGCACGCAGGUGGCUGAGUCAGUCGAUUGUGAAAGCCCUGGGCUUAACCUGGGAAUUGCAGUCGAUACUACUCAGCUAGAGUAUGGGAGAGGGUAGUGGAAUUCCCGGUGUAGCGGUGAAAUGCGUAGAUAUCGGGAGGAACAUCGGUGGCGAAGGCGGCAUCCUGGACCGGCAUUGACGCUGAGGCGCGAAAGCUAGGGGAGCAAACGGG